UCCUGGAUGGCGAAGUGGUUAACGCACCUGCCUAGUAAGCUGGAGGUCCCGGGUUCGAAUCCCGAUCCAGCAC